ACACUCCUACGGGAGGCAGCAGUGGGGAAUAUUGGACAAUGGGCGCAAGCCUGAUCCAGCCAUGCCGCGUGAGUGAUGAAGGCCCUAGGGUUGUAAAGCUCUUUCACCGGUGAAGAUAAUGACGGUAACCGGAGAAGAAGCCCCGGCUAACUUCGUGCCAGCAGCCGCGGUAAUACGAAGGGGGCUAGCGUUGUUCGGAUUUACUGGGCGUAAAGCGCACGUAGGCGGACUAUUAAGUCAGGGGUGAAAUCCCGGGGCUCAACCCCGGAACUGCCUUUGAUACUGGUAGUCUUGAGUUCGAGAGAGGUGAGUGGAAUUCCGAGUGUAGAGGUGAAAUUCGUAGAUAUUCGGAGGAACACCAGUGGCGAAGGCGGCUCACUGGCUCGAUACUGACGCUGAGGUGCGAAAGCGUGGGGAGCAAACUGGAUUAGAUACCCUGGUAGUCCCA
rnacentral:rRNA from 1 species